GCUCAGCUAGAAACGGCACUUUGCAUAUGUGAAGAGAAGAAGAACAAAAUCAUAAACACUGCUGAUUUGGGUGCUGUUCCUCAGGAUACGAUCAAGCUAUUUAAGACGGUAGAACUGAAGAUUUCCACGUGCAAAGAGUACAUUUCUAAUGUGAAUGCAACUCUGCAAAAGAUUUUGUCGUCAUGGGCCGUCUAUACAGAGAACAUCCACUCGCUAAAAGCUUGGCUGGAAGAGACGCGGAAAGCACAUCCUAAAAAGAUUCCCACAGAGAACCUGGCGGCCUGGAACU